CUUUUUUAUUAACAGCUGAGUUGUGAUUGUGGUGCAGAAGCAUAAUAGAUCAAAACUUGGCUGGAACUCUCUCACCACACUUGGACAACUUAACAAAUCUAGAAUUUUUGAUCCUCAGAAAUGUUGGUAUAUCCGGAUCAAUUCCCUCUGGGAUCUGGAGGCUCCAGAAACUUGUGAUGCUUGAUCUUUCACAUAAUUUUCUUGUUGGUCAAGUCCCCAGUAAUCUGUCAUACUUGCCAAACCUUCGGUCUCUUGAUUUAUCCAAUAAUAAUUUGACUGGUCCCAUGCCCAAGGUACAUCCGAGUCCGAGACCACACAUUGUUCCGAUCGGCCCACCAAGUAACCAAGUCUCUCCACCUCCCAGAGGCAACAGUAUAAAAACUGCACUUGCAGUUGUAAUAGCUGUUGUUUGUCUUGCGAUACCUUGCUGAGCCCACUCUUUCAUGCAUGGAAAAGCUACAAACAAUUAAGUAGACAGAAUUAGUUUUCACUUUUCAUGAUCUUAAGAAACUGAAAUCCUUGAAAUCAUGGGAUUAAAUGUUUUGCCUUUUUUGUAGUAUUCAUAUAUAAAUCCAGAUCUCUGUAAUACGAUAUUAGCUGCAUGGUUUCAUACUUAAUUAAUGUUCCUAUUAACAUUUAUU